rnacentral:rRNA from 1 species
GCGUUAAGUUGCAGGGUAUAGACCCGAAACCCGGUGAUCUAGCCAUGGGCAGGUUGAAGGUUGGGUAACACUAACUGGAGGACCGAACCGACUAAUGUUGAAAAAUUAGCGGAUGACCUGUGGCUGGGGGUGAAAGGCCAAUCAAACCGGGAGAUAGCUGGUUCUCCCCGAAAGCUAUUUAGGUAGCGCCUCGUGAAUUCAUCUCCGGGGGUAGAGCACUGUUUCGGCUAGGGGGCCAUCCCGGCUUACCAACCCGAUGCAAACUGCGAAUACCGGAGAAUGUUAUCACGGGAGACACACGGCGGGUGCUAACGUCCGUCGUGAAGAGGGAAACAACCCAGACCGCCAGCUAAGGUCCCAAAGUCAUGGUUAAGUGGGAAACGAUGUGGGAAGGCCCAGACAGCCAGGAUGUUGGCUUAGAAGCAGCCAUCAUUUAAAGAAAGCGUAAUAGCUCACUGGUCGAGUCGGCCUGCGCGGAAGAUGUAACGGGGCUAAACCAUGCACCGAAGCUGCGGCAGCGACGCUGAUGCGUUGUUGGGUAGGGGAGCGUUCUGUAAGCCUGCGAAGGUGGCCUGUGAGGGUUGCUGGAGGUAUCAGAAGUGCGAAUGCUGACAUAAGUAACGAUAAAGCGGGUGAAAAGCCCGCUCGCCGGAAGACCAAGGGUUCCUGUCCAACGUUAAUCGGGGCAGGGUGAGUCGACCCCUAAGGCGAGGCCGAAAGGCGUAGUCGAUGGGAAACGGGUUAAUAUUCCCGUACUUGGUGUUACUGCGAAGGGGGGACGGAGAAGGCUAUGUUGGCCGGGCGACGGUUGUCCCGGUUUAAGCGUGUAGGUGUGUGUUCCAGGUAAAUCCGGUUCACUUUAACACUGAGGCGUGACGACGAGGCACUACGGUGCUGAAGCAACAAAUGCCCUGCUUCCAGGAAAAGCCUCUAAGCAUCAGGUAACAUCAAAUCGUACCCCAAACCGACACAGGUGGUCAGGUAGAGAAUACCAAGGCGCUUGAGAGAACUCGGGUGAAGGAACUAGGCAAAAUGGUGCCGUAACUUCGGGAGAAGGCACACUGACACGUAGGUGAAGUGAUUUACUCACGGAGCUGAAGUCAGUCGAAGAUACCAGCUGGCUGCAACUGUUUAUUAAAAACACAGCACUGUGCAAACACGAAAGUGGACGUAUACGGUGUGACGCCUGCCCGGUGCCGGAAGGUUAAUUGAUGGGGUCAGCGCAAGCGAAGCUCCUGAUCGAAGCCCCGGUAAACGGCGGCCGUAACUAUAACGGUCCUAAGGUAGCGAAAUUCCUUGUCGGGUAAGUUCCGACCUGCACGAAUGGCGUAAUGAUGGCCAGGCUGUCUCCACCCGAGACUCAGUGAAAUUGAACUCGCUGUGAAGAUGCAGUGUACCCGCGGCAAGACGGAAAGACCCCGUGAACCUUUACUAUAGCUUGACACUGAACAUUGAGCCUUGAUGUGUAGGAUAGGUGGGAGGCUUUGAAGUGUGGACGCCAGUCUGCAUGGAGCCGACCUUGAAAUACCACCCUUUAAUGUUUGAUGUUCUAACGUGGACCCGUGAUCCGGGUUGCGGACAGUGUCUGGUGGGUAGUUUGACUGGGGCGGUCUCCUCCUAAAGAGUAACGGAGGAGCACGAAGGUUGGCUAAUCCUGGUCGGACAUCAGGAGGUUAGUGCAAUGGCAUAAGCCAGCUUGACUGCGAGCGUGACGGCGCGAGCAGGUGCGAAAGCAGGUCAUAGUGAUCCGGUGGUUCUGAAUGGAAGGGCCAUCGCUCAACGGAUAAAAGGUACUCCGGGGAUAACAGGCUGAUACCGCCCAAGAGUUCAUAUCGACGGCGGUGUUUGGCACCUCGAUGUCGGCUCAUCACAUCCUGGGGCUGAAGUAGGUCCCAAGGGUAUGGCUGUUCGCCAUUUAAAGUGGUACGCGAGCUGGGUUUAGAACGUCGUGAGACAGUUCGGUCCCUAUCUGCCGUGGGCGCUGGAGAACUGAGGGGGGCUGCUCCUAGUACGAGAGGACCGGAGUGGACGCAUCACUGGUGUUCGGGUUGUCAUGCCAAUGGCACUGCCCGGUAGCUAAAUGCGGAAGAGAUAAGUGCUGAAAGCAUCUAAGCACGAAACUUGCCCCGAGAUGAGUUCU